GAUACAUAAUCUCCCCUGACAUCCUGUUAACAUAGCCUCGUGCUUAGCCCAAGAACUCUGCCUUGCAGAACUGGCAGGGUGAACAAGACCCUGCCUACAAACGUGUUUUUGCAGCCCUGUCGUGGUUUGCUGUGUACCACAGCCUUUAGUGCGUGCCAGGAUCUCUGUGUUUGCUGCUGGAACACUGUGCUGAGAAAGCCACACUUCGUGUGCCACAUCCCACCCUUCGAUGCUCCCCCUGUACAGGUCAUACAGGCUCAUGUCUGUUCUCAGGCAUACAGAGCCUGGCUCAAAGUCUGCUAAAUGCAAAAGAAAGAUUUUAACUGACUUCAGGAAGUUGUGUUCAAGUCCUUUGGGAAGAACUGGGAUGAAGGACAAGAAGUACAAUGUAAUGUGAGGAUGUUUCUCAUUGGCUGUGACUACUCCAAGAUGACACCAUUCAGCCUGAAGAAUUGAGCUGGCUCAGAAUAUGAGAUUAGAAAACUCAGUUUUGCUCUUCUAUGCAGUACAUAACAUGAUUUUCUUCCUGGACUGCAGGAAGUUUCUAGACAUGACACUACUUUUCACUUCUGGGUAAGAGGCAAGAAUGUGUGGGUUAAAUAUUUUCUUUCCCAUUGCCCAAUUUUCAAUAAGACAGUUACUGAAAAGAG